CGAAAGGUGGGUACAGUGACUUGAAGAACAUCGAUAGUUCAGCUAAACGGCAAAAAAAACAAGCAGGGAGCAUAUAAAUGCCCACAUCAGAUUCAAGCUUCUGUGAAAAAGCAGCAGCGAUAGAGGACACAACGAAAGGGAAAGUUCCGCCAACAAGGGCAACUACAAGGAGCUUGCAGAGAGGUGAUGACCAUUACCAUUCUCAACUAUCUCCUGACAUGAACUGAAGCCACGUCUCAUGUGCCCGCUCUUCCACUGGCACAUUGAAUGUUUCCUCUCCAAGCACUUCAAAUCCUUUCCUGCACUGGUCAAGCUUCUGAACACCUCAACUCAUGCCUCGUACCUCAUUCAGUCACUGCUGUGAUCCCUUUCCAACAUGGUGAAACACAAAAGGAGGCUGAGGAGGAGGAGGAUGAUAAUUCCUGGGGAAGCUAGACCAGCACAACAGGCUCCCUGGAGACCAAACAGAUGUUUACAUUUGAGCUACAUCAAAGACACAUCACAAAACAUGCCAAUGAUGCCAGCGAGCCCCAGGAAGGAAGGCCUGCCUAGCUUGUCACAAAAACAUCUUCUCAGCAAGCCCACCUGGUUCAGCUCAACACUGCAUCAUCAGAGCCAGCCAGUUCUCUACAUAUGGAGAGGGAGCCGGCUUCUUUUCAGACACUCAGCAUCUAGGUCCUGAGGCAAGGGUACUGAAGCAGAGUCCUACAGAAUUUCUGGUGAGUGUUUUAGUGUUUGUCCUAGUGGUCACAUUUCCAGCCAGUGAUGGUAGUGGUGUUAUUCAUUAACU
rnacentral:lncRNA from 1 species